rnacentral:rRNA from 1 species
UACGGGGGGGGCAAGCGUUGUUCGGAAUUACUGGGCGUAAAGGGCUCGUAGGUGGCCAACUAAGUCAGACGUGAAAUCCCUCAGCUUAACUGGGGAACUGCGUCUGAUACUGGAUGGCUUGAGUUUGGGAGAGGGAUGCGGAAUUCCAGGUGUAGCGGUGAAAUGCGUAGAUAUCGGAAGGAACGCCGGCGGCGAAAGCGACGUGCUGGACCUCUACUGACGCUGAGGCGCGAAAGCCAGGGGAGCAAACGGG